rnacentral:rRNA from 1 species
GAUGAACGCUGGCGGCGUGCCUAAUACAUGCAAGUCGAGCGGACGGACGAGAAGCUUGCUGCGCGGAUGUUAGGGGCGGAGGGGAGAGUAACACGUGUAUAACCUACCUAUAAGACUGGGAUAACUUCGGGAAACCGGAGCUAAUAGCGGAGGAGAUUUUGAACCGCAUGGGUCAAAAGUGAAAGACGGUCUUUCUGUCACUUAUAGAGGGAUCCGCGCUGCAUUAGAUAGUUGGGAAGGUAACGGCUUACCAAGGCAACGAUGCAUAGCCGACCUGAGAGGGUGAUCGGCCACCCUGGAAGUGAGACACGGUCCAGACUACUACGGGACGCAGCAGUAGGCAAUCUUCCGCAAUAGGCGAAAGCCUGACAGAGCAACGCCGCGUGAGUGAUGACGGUCUUCGGAUCGUAAAACUCUGUUAUUAGGGAAGAACAUAUGUGUAAGUAACUGUGCACAUCUUGACGGUACCUAAUCAGAAAGCCACGGCUAACUACGUG